UUAGAAGGUAGAAAUUUGAUUAGAGUCUUUCUUUAUUAUUUCCACAAUAUAAUGUGGUUAUUUCCACUCUGAAAUCCAGCUUAUAUUCUUGUAGAGAGUAAAAGAUUGUUGAUAUUUAGAUAUAAAAAUUACCUUUAACUUCAUGGGGGUUGAACAUUAUCUGAAGGAAGGAAUAAUUUAGUAAAACAAUCAUUUCAAAUUUUGAUAUCUAUGUAUUGAAUUUAAUGGGUUGUGGCAUUGUGUUGUGGUUUAUUACACCACAAAAAUAAUGAAAUAUAACAAGACACAAGAAAUAGUUUCAGAAUAGUUUGAUGUAUUGUUUAUGUUUCAUUAUAUUCAAUAAGAGACUAAUUUAACUCAUAAAUUAAACUGAAAAAUAAACCACAAGAAUAUGUAGAUACUUAUAAGCUCAUUUAGAUAGAAGAAAUUAAGUAAAAACAGAGUACAAUUUAUUGUAAUACAUACUACCGUAAUAGAUAAUUAUCGAAUAUCGAAUGAAAAUAAUACUAGAAAAGGUACCUACUUAUUUAUAAACAUACGAAAUGGAAAACAUUGACAAAAACAACUAAAAAAGCUUUAAUAUAAAAAAUAUUAAAAUUUGUUUGAAGAAUAUUUAAAUGAUACAACACUUCCAAAACUUUAAAAACCAGAAUAUACAUCUACCUACAAGCUGUUUAACAAAACAAUAUUUUAGGUUAAGAAUUGGAAGUGGAAGGAGUAAGAACAGAAUGUCGAGAAAUUCUUCCCAAAUAUUUUGUGCGCCUGUGCGAACUUAAAAUCCGAAACAAAAUCCUCGAACGUCGAGAGGGUAUUCCGGACACGUUCAGGAUCUUUUUUCUGUACUGCGCGAACACCGAAUUAAAAAUCCGGAGGGUGUUCAGAGGGAAAGAUUUGGACUCCGCGAACGCCCAAUUUUGUAAUGCGCAGGCGUUCUCCCUCUGGGUAUACCCAGGACGUACUGCGCGAUCAAAGCUAAUAACAAAUUUGCCACUUGUUUUCGUUCUUACCUAUCUGUUCGAUUUUUUAUUCUAUGAGCAAUAGUUUCAUGCAAAUAGUGAACAGCACAGCAUCUUAGAUAUCCAAAAUCUUUGCAAAAAUUCAUUAUCAUUCCAUUUUUCAAAAUGAUUUUCUCUAGCCCUACACUGUUUUCUGUGUUCUCCUUCCUUCUACAAUAUUUAUCAUUUACAGAAAAUCUUCAUUACUAGUUAAAAUUUUCAGUGAGGUUCAUUUUAAGGUGUAAAUAUUAUGAUUUCCGUUGACAAUGACAAAAAUGUGAGGUUAAAAAUCCUUGAACCAGCGUUAAACUGCCGAACAUCGACCGCUCAGCUGAACCCGGGCUUAAACCGAGUUCAAGUUCAAGAAUUAAACUUUGUAUGUACAACGCACUUCUUGCCCUGAACUCGGUAAUGGCGCUGAGCCGGAGUUGAACUUCGAUUGUACAACCGGGCCUAAAUGUCCAGCAAACGACGGCAAUGUUGCCAGAUUCCUUUUAGCGGGAAUUUUAAAAUGGUUUUAAAUUUGACAGUUCUGUUUUCUCAAGUCAAAGUCAAAAAUCUUAACCUUACUUUUACAAGUGAUUAGGAUUAUUAUUAUUUUAUUUACAUGUAAAUUGAAACAAUAAAUAUUGUGCUGUGUCAUAAUUUCAAACUCAUUAUGUUGCAGUCUUUUCCAGUUGAUAAAAUUGCAAUUCAAAAACUUUAGAUUUGCACUGUAUGGAUGAUGGCACAGGAAGAGAACAAGAGUACAAGAACAUGAAACAUCUUAUUAUGAAUGUAUAUGUAUGUGAUCCUCAAAAAAUUAUUUUACAAAACAAGAUAGAGAAAGAGCUUUAAAAUCCCAAGGAUCCUGCAAUUUUUAUUUGGUGUACUAGUCGAAUAAUAGUAUCUAAAAAUAUUGAAACUAUUUUAAAACAUAUUACGGACACGAGGAUGAUAUAGAGCACUUACAUAAAUACCAAAAUCAGAUAAAUAUCUCUUCAAAGUUUAUUUUGAGACUUUCUUCAAAAAUGUAAGUAAAAUAUUUGCAUAUCGAUGGCGGAAAAGUAGUAACUGAAAAAAUUUUAUAACAUGAGUUACUUCAGUUUUCGCUUUAGAAUAAGUGUAUCGGCAGCUAUUAAACAGCGAUUACAGCUGGGAAAGUUUCCGGAAGGCUUCCAAAAGGCUUUCCCAGCUCUAAAAGCUGUUUAAUAGGUGCUGAUACACUUAUUAUAAAGCGAAAACCGAAGUAACUCAUUUUAUACAAAUUUUUCAGUUAUGAGGUCCUGCCUUUCCGCCGUCGAUAUACACAAUAUAAUUUAAAACAAGAAUGUUACCACUAAACCACUUUUUUAAAUAUUACUCAUGAAUAUUUAGUACAGUUUACAAAUUCAAACUAGUGUGUUUGAUUCUCCUAUACCUAUAUUUUACUUUUUUAGUAAACUUCAGACUGUUCAGGAUAGCAUAAUAGCAUAGGAGGCGAAUUAAAAAGAAUUAACUUACUUACAAGAAAAGAUAUCACAAACAUUAGACUCUCUUAUGGCAUUGAUUUGAAAGAUGGGUAUAUGUACAAUGACGAUGCAACCAGUGUUUAUUUUUGGGUUGAAUGCUUACAGACUCAUGUCCAAUAUUAUUUUACAAACAACAGGGCAUACUAAUGGAUAUUCAUUCUGAAUUUAACAUUUAUGAUUUUUGUCUUAUUUUCCUUAAUACUGUGCCAAAAGGAAAUGUUAAUUAAGUUUGGUAAAUCCUUUAUCGCAAUUGAUGGAACUCAUGGGCUCAAUUCCUAUGACUUUGAACUUAUGACAGUAUUAGUAAAAGAUGAAUUUGGGAAUGGAUUUUGUACUGCUUUCUUAUUUUCAAAUAGAAAAGAUACCUACUUUAAUUUACCAAUUUUUUUAAAUACAUGUCUGUGUUGGUAUUAUAUGUAUAGUCAAAUGUUUUCAUAUCGGGCAUAAGUGACACCUUUUACAAUGCCUCGUCAAAUGUAAUGGGUAUUGCUCCUAAUAGACUGUUAAGUGCCUGGCACAUAAAUAGGGCAUGGUAAGUAAAUCUUGAAUAAAAUAUCUGAUUCUGAAAAAAAUCCUAUUAUGUAUACAAGAUGUAUUAAUGAUGGUUUAGAGAGUAUUAAUAGCUUUUUGGGUAGACUUCUAAGUGAUGCAGAUACAUACAAUUUUAGUAAGUAUUUCCAGUAGAACUACUGCAAUAACAUCCAACAAUGGGCGUAUUGUUAUAGGAAGGGGUUGUGGAAUUAAUACCAAUAUGACCAUUCAAAAUUUUCAUAAAAUUUUGGAUAAAAGGGUAUCCAUUAGUUGUUAUCAGUUAAGUUUAAAACUUGGCACUCAUGGAGAGCUAUACCAUAAUAUAUAAUAGGUAUAUCUCAUAAUAUUACAUCUCAUAUUGCUCACUCAUUACAAUAGUGAGCAAUAUGAGAUAUAACAUAUUAUAGUAUAAGUCUCUGUGCAUGACCAGAUUAACAUGUUUGGUGCCCAUCUCGAACAAGCUCCACUUGGCUGGUACCACAUACUUAAAUCAUUUAUUUAGUUACACAGUACUACUCACAUAACUUAUGUGUCGUCAGUACCUUCCGUAAAACCUUCGUGAUGCUACCCAUACGUCAUGGCCACUGAAUGUGUUAAAGCUUGUUAAUGUAGGAGAGUUAUACUAAAAUAUAUAUCUUAUAUUAUAUUGCCUUAAAUAGAAAAAAUAUCUUAUUUAAAUUGUAUCCAUGUAAGUUUUGAUUUAAUGAAAUAAACCUUUUAAUCAAAAAAGUGUUGUUUACUUGUGUACACCCAGCAAUAUCCUGAUCAUAGAUAAAUAAUAAUAUAGUAUUACCAGAUCCUGAUAUGCAGACGCCAAUAGGGCUUUUCAUUGAUUGUCAUUUGUUUCGAGCUUCUGUCAUGAGUCACAUAAUAUUAAUGUAUCUACGUCAUACAUCUUUGGUUUGUAUCAUUGGUAUAUACCAAUAAUGUACGACGUAGAUAUAUUAAUAUUAUGUGACACAUGACAUAAGCUCGAAACAAAUGACUGAAUGAAAUGCCCUAUUGAAUAGGGCUUUUCAUCGAUUGUCAUUUGUUUCGAGCUUCGGUCAAGUGUCACAUAAUAUUAAUAUAUCUACAUCAUAUGUCUUUGGUUUGUAUCAUUGGCAAUAUCAAUAACAUAUGACAUAGAUAUAUUAAUGUUAGACAACACAUGACAGAAGCUCGAAACAAAUGACUGAGUGAAAAGCCCUAUAUCAUGUAAAUACAAGUGAUAAAGAUGUCUUUCUACGGCUAAAAUUGCACAGCCUAAAGACAUCAUUUAUGUAACUUCUUAAGCUGUCACAAAAUGACUGCAAUAAGAAAAUAGAAUUUAUUAACUCGCCUCGCCCCCAGGCAAAGUAAAGGUGCUAGGCCACUAAGAAUGUUUUUUUCAAUUUUUUUUUAUUUUGCGGCUUUAGCGCUUAGCUAUUUAGCCAGGUACAUGAUGAGAAUUAAUACUAUUAUAAUACAUAUUAAAACUAAUUCAAAUUACUAGUAAUUUUAUUAAUAUUCUGAAUAAUUAUGUAACCACUUAAUACUAAAAUAAAAAAGUGUCCAUCUAUACUAUCCCAACAUUUUCACCUUUGAAAUCGUAAAUUUCCAUUCCCAUUAAAAAAUAAUUUGUACUGUAUAAGUAUAUUUCUUUUGAGCUUCAUUUUUUUUUCAAAAUACUGCAACACGAGUUUUAAAUUAUGACACAGUACAAUACUUGUUUCAAUAUUUACAUGUAAAUAAAAUAAUCCUAAUUACUUGUAAAAGUAAGGUUAUAAAUUUAAGAAUACCAGAACUCUCUUUUAAAACCAAAGUGUCAUUAGACUAAUUUUAAAAUUCCCGCUAAAAGGAAAAAGGUAAAUCUGGCAACAGUGCCGUCGUUUGCUGGGAGAGAUUAAAUAUCCAGCACGCAACCGCACUGUUGCCAGAUUUACAUCUUUAGCGGGAAGUUUAAAAUUUGACAGUUGGGUUUUCUCGAAUCCGAAUCUUAACCUUACUUUUACAGGUGAUUAUGUGUAUGUAAAUAAACAAGUCUUGUUUGUAUAUUAUACUGUUAUUAUUUAAAACUCUAAAUAAUUUAUGUUAGUCUUUUAACAAAAAUGAAGCUCAAAAAACUACACUUGUUUACAUUGCAAAUGAUUUUUUAAUGGCAAUAGGGAUUUAGGAUUUCAUUUGCAGGAAAAACAUGGGCAACAUACCCAGUUGGUAAAAUUGCAAUUCAAAAACUCUUUAGAUUUUACUGUCUGGAUGGCACAGGAAGAGAAACAAAAUAAUGUUCUGUACUGCAGUCACAGGAGUACAUAGUAGAGAUAUAAUAAAAAAGCUGUUCAACAUCACCGGACACCAUUUAAUUUUUAGAAAAUGAAAAGUCUUCAGGUUGAAUGCGAUCUGUAGUAUUGCUACAUAAUGAAUGUGUUUACAUAUGGUAUUUUUUAUCGAAUAAUCUAUACAGGCACAACUAAAUGAAUGUAUACAUAUAUUGCAGAAAGUGCAUUUAAUGGAGCAGCAAGUUUUUUUGUGUUUCAAUGAGGUAUUCAGUUUUUUCUUCUUCUAGUAUAUACACAUUAUCUUGUAAAAUUGUAAAAAAGCAAGCUAAUACAGUUCAAUAUCUAGACAUUAUAGAGCUUUCAACAGGUUUACCUUUUUUAAGCUUUAUAAUCCUUUCGACAGUUUUAUUUCUUAAAUAAACAAUAACAACCGA